CUCACCUCUCACAGGGCUUAGAUCAUGUGUAGUAUCUGUUCUAAAUAGAUUGACAUCUAUUUUUCCUUGCUCCGGCGAGGAUAUAAUUGUCAUACACUUUUUCCUUGCGGGAGAUCACCGUUCUGGUGCUUGCACCUCGGGAUCUCAUGGAUGUCCUUGGCCCUACACUUCCGCCUUGAGACGUCCGCCGUCC
rnacentral:snRNA from 15 species